GUCGAGCAGUCUCGACUACAGCUUUCUUACUAGUUUGUAUUGCGUUAUCAAACUUACAAAUGUAGCAUAAAUUGUUUAAACAAGCAAACGGACAACAAGAACUGACUCCCCAUAUAAAACCAAAUUCAGAACGUUAUCUAGAUAUGGGGCUUAUAUCGACUUUCGCAGAGGUUGUGGCAAACCGAAGGCGUUUGUAUCGUCUAAAGCUUUAGAGGGAGAAGUCGUAAAAUUCAAUAAUUUUUCCAGAGUUUUGAAGUGAAUGCCCUGAUUAGCCAAAAGUUGCAUGCGUACGCCUGAAAAAAUCUUUGAAAUAAAACACUUUUAUACUUUGAGCACUUUUAAAAUGUAUACUCGUCUUAACAACAAAAACAAAUAUCUCCGCUUAAAACAGGAAGCAAAGCAAAACUGUAUUUAGGUAUUUUUAUUGUUAUCAAAUAAAGGUUUAAUGAUUAAGGUU